UUUAAUUACACACUCAAAAGGACCGAGAAAAAUAUGAAAAAAUAUAUAUAUUGUAUUAAAUUGAAAAUACCUCCAAAACUUUAUCUAUAAAGCGCAUAUUGCUAUCAAAAUGAGCAAACUAAAGAGAAACUCAACAAAACUAAUACAAAAAUCGAAAAAAGAGCUGUAACUUAAAUGUAACCACGUAGACAUUGUUCUUAUGUCCACGAAAUCUUCUCCUCGUACACAUAGUACUCAUAAAUAACUACAAUUGCCGAAACUAAGCUACUAUAAAAAAAUGAAAGUGAAAAAUUAUAAAAAUAAUGAAAAAAUUAAAUAAAACUACAACAAAAACUUCAUUCAAAGUCUAAACUUAAAGUCUAAAUUGAAAAAGAAAUCUAAAUAAAGCAUAAAUUUGUAGGCAAAUAGAAACUAACUGCAACUAAAUACAGAUAUAUUUAUUUCUUAUGUUACUUGCUGUGUUAGGUGGGUAUUUGUUGCGAUUUAUUUAACGGGAUCUUGAAAAGAUUGAAGAUCGGCAAACAAUUUUGGAAAACGUAAAGGAUUUGUAAGAACGUUUCCGAGCGUUUGAAAGUGGAUUAUUUUGUCGGGAAACAAUCGAAGGAGCAAGGUUUCUUGUUAAAUAAGAUCAGAGAUAUACAGCCCUAUUCAAAAUGAAAACCUCCGGGGAGAUUUCUCACUGCAAUAACACUUUUUUAUGAUGUUCUCUAGAGGAUCUGCUAAAAGAACAACGGAACUCAAUAUUUUUGUAAAUAUAUCGCAAGUUAUUAAAACGCAUUAAAUUCACUAUAUACAUAAUAAUUUCAUACAUUUAUUUAA